GGCGGACGGGUGAGGAAUACAUCGGAAUCUACUCUGUCGUGGGGGAUAACGUAGGGAAACUUACGCUAAUACCGCAUACGACCUACGGGUGAAAGCAGGGGAUCUUCGGACCUUGCGCGAUUGAAUGAGCCGAUGUCGGAUUAGCUAGUUGGCGGGGUAAAGGCCCACCAAGGCGACGAUCCGUAGCUGGUCUGAGAGGAUGAUCAGCCACACUGGAACUGAGACACGGUCCAGACUCCUACGGGAGGCAGCAGUU
rnacentral:rRNA from 1 species